UAAGUAACUACCGGGAAACGUAGGAGGCUAAUACCGGAUGGUUCCUACGGGAUAAAGAUUUAUCGCCAAAAGAUGAGUCCGCGUACGAUUAGCUAGUUGGUGAGGUAAUGGCUCACCAAGGCGACGAUCGUUAGCUGGUCUGAGAGGACGAUCAGCCACACUGGGACUGAGACACGGCCCAGACUCCUACGGGAGGCAGCAGUGGGGAAUAUUGGACAAUGGGGCAACCCUGAUCCAGCCAUGCCGCGUGAGUGAUGAAGGCCUUCGGGUUGUAAAGCUCUUUUGGCGGGGACGAUGAUGACGGUACCCGCAGAAUAAGCCCCGGCUAACUUCGUG
rnacentral:rRNA from 1 species